rnacentral:rRNA from 1 species
UACGUAGGGUGCGAGCGUUAAUCGGAAUUACUGGGCGUAAAGCGUGCGCAGGCGGUUCUGAAAGUCAGCUGUGAAAGCCCCGGGCUUAACCUGGGAACUGCAGUUGAAACUACAGGACUAGAAUCUGGCAGAGGGGGGUGGAAUUCCACGUGUAGCAGUGAAAUGCGUAGAGAUGUGGAGGAACACCGAUGGCGAAGGCAGCCCCCUGGGCUGAGAUUGACGCUCAGGCACGAAAGCGUGGGGAGCAAACAGG